GCUUCCAGGAGGAUCUGCCCCAUCAUCUUCCCUGGCACAGAGGCUGGGGUUUCUUGAGGCUUAUGGAACUGGCUGUUUGCUGCUUGCCUUUCCUGCUCACCAGGCACUGGGAGAUGCUUGCUACGAAGCUGACCAUGGAAAUGACUCCAUGCUCUUUUCUGACUAUGUGGUUGGAUCCACGCAGUAUCUUCAGUGGCAAGGCCAGAGCAUUUCUAGGAGCUUUCUUCUCAGAGAUGGUCCCUAUGCCUUACGCUUCCCCCUGUGGUGCUGAAGGCAGAAGGCUGCUGGGCACUGCUUCUGGUCUGCCUGAUCCUGCACGUCUGGGGGAGUAGGAGAUGACUGAAAGAGCAGCUAGCACUACAUUGAAUUCCUGAUCACGUUCCCAAACCCCACAUCAUGCAGAUUUCUCAAGAGAAAACUUUCGCUUGGAGAAAACUGUUGCUCCAGCAGAAUGAAAUGAGGAUUAUGAAGGUGAAUCCUGUGCCAAGAGUAAUGUUGUAAAUAAUAAUUCUGUCUGUUAAUAAGACGAGAAAUUGAGACCUCAGAUUUGCUACCCUUACUCUGUGCUUCUUUUGCCUGUUUCUUUGUUCUCUUUGCCUUUACCGACUCAAGGAAUUUUAAUUAGUAGCUUUGACUUUUUCUCUCUUUCCAAAACUGAUCAGUAAAUGCAAUGUGAGAAAAGUGACAACAAUCUUAGCAGUACCAAAGCCUUGCUGAGUUUACUGUCCUGUUUAUGAUUGUGAUCUUGACAGAUCGUGGCAAAGUGAUAUCUUUCAAAGUAGAACAGUAGAAGGAAAGAGAAAAUCUGA